rnacentral:rRNA from 1 species
UACGAAGGGGGCUAGCGUUGUUCGGAAUCACUGGGCGUAAAGCGCACGUAGGCGGAUUUGUAAGUCAGGGGUGAAAUCCCGGGGCUCAACCUCGGAACUGCCUUUGAUGCUGCAAGUCUCGAGUCCGAGAGAGGUGAGUGGAAUUCCUAGUGUAGAGGUGAAAUUCGUAGAUAUUAGGAAGAACACCAGUGGCGAAGGCGGCUCACUGGCUCGGUACUGACGCUGAGGUGCGAAAGCGUGGGGAGCAAACAGG